AGUACGCAAAAGAGAGAGAGAGAGAGAGAGAGAGAGAGAGAGAGAGAACGGAGAAAAAAUAAGAGAGCGAAAGGUGCGAUGUAAAAAUACGGAUAUACAGGACACAGGAGCGUGUGUUAACCCGUGUUCACCAUAUGUGCUUACCGCUUUAGCGUAUAUAGCGACGCCUUUACACUGUGAUCACGUUUACAAAGAAAAUAGUCUUAAAGCUAGAAGAUAGACGUAAAGGUAUAUAUCUUUAGGGCAAACGAGAGUACGACGAGAGCACAGUCUCGAGUAUAAUAAGACCAGGCGAUACCCACGACAAACCACCCACACCCUUGUUCCCCUCUCAAACCCUCCCCCUCUCACAAUUUAUUUAUACAUACGAAUAAAGAUAUAUUUAAAUCGAAUAAGAAUGGAACAAAAAAAUAUUGUUGAUGUUACUACGGUGUAAUGGGUACAAUCUAAAUACAUGAAUAUUAUGUAUAUAAGGAAUAGAACGGAGGAUUUUUAUGGCAUAA